CUAAGCUUCACCCAGAUUUUGCACUUCACCCAGAUGAUUAUGUUCCAAAAAACAUUAGACGUACUAGUUUUUAAACUCACGUAAUAUUAACUAAACUGAUAAGAAAAAAAACUCCGGAUAUUUAAUUAUCCUUAUCGUUGCCUCUGACGCAACAGCUCAUUAUCAGUCAAUUUCACCUGCAUGUAUACCAUUAAUUUUUAAUUGGCACGCUUCCGCGGACGCCCAUGCCAUAAUAUGUGAGUGCAAAAAUUCAAACACAAAAUUUAGAUAAACAACGAGUAUAAUAGGUUGACACAUAUUUAUGAAUUAAUUUAUGACACAUUUGAUGAUUGUUAAUAGUUGUCUAAGAGACCGUUCAUUUUUGUCAGGAAUGAUGGUGGUUUUCGGUCUUCGUCCAGGCGUGGACUUCCAUUAUUCACCAAUGACCAAUGUAGUAAACUGCAUGCAUUAUAACCAUGUAAGUAGUACGUUCACUGUACGUUGCAUUAUAUAUAACCAUGUAAGUAGUACGUUCACUACGUUGCAUUAUAACCAUGUAAGUAGUACGUUCACUACGUUGCAUUAUAACCAUGUAAGUAGUACGUUCACUGUACGUUGCAUAAUAACCAUGUAAGUAGUACGUUCACUGUACGUUGCAUUAUAUAUAACCAUGUAAGUAGUACGUUCACUACGUUGCAUUAUAACCAUGUAAGUAGUACGUUCACUACGUUGCAUUAUAACCAUGUAAGUAGUACGUUCACUGUACGUUGCAUAAUAACCAUGUAAGUAGUACGUUCACUGUACGUUGCAUUAUAUAUAACCAUGUAAGUAGUACGUUCACUACGUUGCAUUAUAACCAUGUAAGUAGUACGUUCACUACGUUGCAUUAUAACCAUGUAAGUAGUACGUUCACUGUACGUUGCAUAAUAACCAUGUAAGUAGUACGUUCACUGUACGUUGCAUUAUAUAUAACCAUGUAAGUAGUACGUUCACUACGUUGCAUUAUAACCAUGUAAGUAGUACGUUCACUACGUUGCAUUAUAACCAUGUAAGUAGUACGUUCACUGUACGUUGCAUAAUAACCAUGUAAGUAGUACGUUCACUGUACGUUGCAUUAUAUAUAACCAUGUAAGUAGUACGUUCACUACGUUGCAUUAUAACCAUGUAAGUAGUACGUUCACUACGUUG